CCUACGGGUGGCAGCAGUGAGGAAUAUUUGUCAAUGGGCGCGAGCCUGAACCAGCCAAGUCGCGUGAGGGAAGACGGUCCUAUGGAUUGUAAACCUCUUUUGUCGGGGAGCAAAAGACGCCACGCGUGUCGUUCCGAGAGUACCCUACGAAUAAGCAUCGGCUAACUCCGUGCCAGCAGCCGCGGUAAUACGGAGGAUGCGAGCGUUAUCCGGAUUUAUUGGGUUUAAAGGGUGCGCAGGCGGAAGAUCAAGUCAGCGGUAAAAUUGAGGGGCUCAACCUCUUCGAGCCGUUGAAACUGGUUGUCUAGAGUGAGCGAGAAGUAGGCGGAAUGCAUGGUGUAGCGGUGAAAUGCAUAGAGAUCACGCAGAACUCCGAUUGCGAAGGCAGCAUACCGGGGCUCAACUGACGCUCAUGCACGAAAGUGUGGGGAUCGAACAGGAUUAGAUACCCCUGUAGUC
rnacentral:rRNA from 1 species